rnacentral:rRNA from 1 species
CCUACGGGAGGCUGCAGUGGGGGAUAUUGCACAAUGGGGGGAACCCUGAUGCAGCGACGCCGCGUGGGUGAAGAAGCGCCUCGGCGCGUAAAGCCCUGUCAGCAGGGAAGAAAAUGACGGUACCUGAAGAAGAAGCCCCGGCUAACUACGUGCCAGCAGCCGCGGUAAUACGUAGGGGGCAAGCGUUAUCCGGAUUUACUGGGUGGAAAGGGGGCGCAGACGGCGGUGCAAGCCAGGAGUGAAAGCCCGGGGCCCAACCCCGGGACUGCUCUUGGAACUGCGUGGCUGGAGUGCAGGAGGGGCAGGCGGAAUUCCUGGUGUAGCGGUGAAAUGCGUAGAUAUCAGGAGGAACACCGGUGGCGAAGGCGGCCUGCUGGACUGCAACUGACGUUGAGGCCCGAAAGCGUGGGGAGCAAACAGGAUUAGAUACCCCGGUAGUC